GACGAACGCUGGCGGCGUGCUUAACACAUGCAAGUCGAACGGAAAGGCCCUGCUUUUGUGGGGUGCUCGAGUGGCGAACGGGUGAGUAACACGUGAGUAACCUGCCCUUGACUUUGGGAUAACUUCAGGAAACUGGGGCUAAUACCGGAUAGGAGCUCCUGCUGCAUGGUGGGGGUUGGAAAGUUUCGGCGGUUGGGGAUGGACUCGCGGCUUAUCAGCUUGUUGGUGGGGUAGUGGCUUACCAAGGCUUUGACGGGUAGCCGGCCUGAGAGGGUGACCGGCCACAUUGGGACUGAGAUACGGCCCAGACUCCUACGGGAGGCAGCAGUGGGGAAUAUUGCACAAUGGGCGGAAGCCUGAUGCAGCAACGCCGCGUGCGGGAUGACGGCCUUCGGGUUGUAAACCGCUUUCGCCUGUGACGAAGCGUGAGUGACGGUAAUGGGUAAAGAAGCACCGGCUAACUACGUGCCAGCAGCCGCGGUGAUACGUAGGGUGCGAGCGUUGUCCGGAUUUAUUGGGCGUAAAGGGCUCGUAGGUGGUUGAUCGCGUCGGAAGUGUAAUCUUGGGGCUUAACCCUGAGCGUGCUUUCGAUACGGGUUGACUUGAGGAAGGUAGGGGAGAAUGGAAUUCCUGGUGGAGCGGUGGAAUGCGCAGAUAUCAGGAGGAACACCAGUGGCGAAGGCGGUUCUCUGGGCCUUUCCUGACGCUGAGGAGCGAAAGCGUGGGGAGCGAACAGGCUUAGAUACCCUGGUAGUCCACGCUGUAAACGGUGGGUACUAGGUGUGGGGUCCAUUCCACGGGUUCCGUGCCGUAGCUAACGCUUUAAGUACCCCGCCUGGGGAGUACGGCCGCAAGGCUAAAACUCAAAGGAAUUGACGGGGCCCCGCACAAGCGGCGGAGCAUGCGGAUUAAUUCGAUGCAACGCGUAGAACCUUACCUGGGUUUGACAUGGAUCGGGAGUGCUCAGAGAUGGGUGUGCCUCUUUUGGGGUCGGUUCACAGGUGGUGCAUGGCUGUCGUCAGCUCGUGUCGUGAGAUGUUGGGUUAAGUCCCGCAACGAGCGCAACCCUUGUUCACUGUUGCCAGCACGUUAUGGUGGGGACUCAGUGGAGACCGCCGGGGUCAACUCGGGGGAAGGUGGGGAUGACGUCAAGUCAUCAUGCCCCUUAUGUCCAGGGCUUCACGCAUGCUACAAUGGCUGGUACAGAGAGUGGCGAGCCUGUGAGGGUGAGCGAAUCUCGGAAAGCCGGUCUCAGUUCGGAUUGGGGUCUGCAACCCGACCUCAUGAAGUCGGAGUCGCUAGUAAUCGCAGAUCAGCAACGCUGCGGUGAAUACGUUCCCGGGGCU
rnacentral:rRNA from 1 species